GAGUAGGAAUUGGAUCUCAGAUUUUUUGGGUACUGUCUCACCGCUGGGAUAAAUACACUGAGAAAGCAGCUUAGGGGGCAAGGGUUUGUUUUUGUUCACAGUUCCAGAGGGACCCAGUUAGUUCGUCACAAUGGGAGAGGCAGGACAGUAGGCAAGGGUAACAUGGUGGCAGGAACAGAAAGCUGGCUGGCACACUGCAUUCUCACUCAGGAGCAGAAAGUGGGCUGAGAUGUAAAGCCUCCCGGACCUACUUCGUCCAGUGAGGCUCUUACCUCCUAAAGGUUCCACAGCCUUCCCAAAUGGGACCACCAGCUGAGGAGGAAGCGUUCAGACACAUGAGCCUAUGGGGGGCAUUUGACAUUCACGUCAUAACAGCAAGUAUCACACAGAGAAAAGAAAAUCACAUACGGGAAGCUUACAGAGGGGCUCCUUCAUGGAGCAGGACGCUGACGAAGGGUGCCAAGUGUUUGGAUUUCAGUAGAAGGCAGGAUGACUGAAGCUUGGAGCAGUAAAGGAGUGCCUCGAAUUCACAUGGUUAAUCAGAGCUGAGAUCUGCACCCAGGCAGGCUGAGCUCAGGAGCAUCCCUCUGCUCUGCUGGGCCUCAUGUAUAAGUCAUCAUCAGCUGAUCAAGUUUUCUGGAACCCGAGACUGCCAGCUUGGCUGGUCCAAGUUCUCCUUCCCCUCUGCCUAUGCUCCUGACGUGCCACCCUCCAUCACGCCGUUCUUCACAGUGUGGUCAACAGGGUUUAUUCAUUGUUUCGUGCCUCUUUCGGCCUUGGCCACCUUCAGACGUCAGUGAUUCCCGCGCACAAUGCAGUUUCCGCUCGACCGACCACACCGUUCCACAAGGGGGCACUGUCUGACCGUAAAGCCGGGGAGGUUCUUGCCUGCAGGCUAAAAUACAGCCCGCGUCACCCUAAUGCUUUCAUUCUGUUAUAAGAAAUGACCUUAUUCAAGCUACAUGCCUCAUUGUUAUUUCACGGAGAGGAAACAAAAGCAAAAAAGGAAACCAUAUAAUGUUCGUGGACUGCUUUACCAUAAUUCAUUCACUGGGUUUCUGUUAGGCUGUAUGGAAUCCAUUAAGCAGGAUAUUGAAGCUUAUGAAUGGAAAA